GGGGAUGUAGCUCAGCUGGAAGAGCACCUGCUUUGCAAGCAGGGGGUCGUGGGUUCGAGUCCCAUCAUCUCCA
rnacentral:tRNA from 1 species